rnacentral:lncRNA from 1 species
GUAUGUCAACUGGGGAAGAGCAAAGAGGAGACAUGUGCGUGUACACUGUGUACAGUAUACAUGUGCACACUCAUGUGCUCAUACGCUCAUAUGCUUAUGCUGAUGCCUACCCCAUACUCAUGUAACAUAUGCACAUCACACAUACACUCACCUUUGCUCACUACCAUAUAUACAAACACCAGCACCUCCCGCAACUCAAAUACAUUUUAAAAAUAACCUACAGUGAUUGAAAACUUAAUAGAUACCUAUUCCCAACUGAGCAAAUGACUUAGGAUUAACCAAAAGCAGGGACAGACACUCCCAGAAAUGGAAGGGGCACCGUAGCAUAGUUAGUCCCGUGGGAAACGCCUCUUAUAGCCACCUGCUGACUGCUUUAACCCAUCCUGAUUGCUGGGAUCAGAUUUGAACCUUAAGAAGCCAGCAUGUGGCACUCGACAUUGGGGAUCAGGGCCUUCUCUGUGUAGUCAGCCAGGACAUCAUCUGUUGUAUCAUCCCUGGUACAAGGUGAUCUGAGGGCAGGUGAGAGGAAAAGAUGUGGCUGCAGCUCAGGAUGCUUAAUGCUUGGUUUGGGAGACUACAGACCUACAUCAGACUUGUCACUUGUGGAUGUUUAUGAAGAGCCAGACUGCAGGAGGAGGGCCACGAUAGGUGGCUCCGUGGGAGGCUUUCAGGAAUUUAUAGGACUUCAGCUGUAUCCUGAAGGAUGGGCAGUUGAAUUAAAGGGGAGAGGAAAGGGGGAAUUCAGCUAGCACAAUUUCAUCAGUUGAGGGCCUGAGGACCAGAUGAAAACUAAAGUCACUUACCCUGACAUGAGUGGUGCCUUGGUCAUUGGGCAACUCAAGCAUGCACUGGAGGAGCUGUGGAGGGACUUCAAGUGAUGGAAAGUUAUUGACUAGACAACCUUGAAGGUGCACUUGAGCCCUAGCAUUUUAUGAUAACAUGAUGGCUUUUCCUGGCUGGUUCUUGCUUGGAGGUGAUAAAUUCACUGAUUGUAGGGAGGUUGUUCAAUGGGAUAAAAGACACUCGCUGCAGGAGAGGUUUACCUUUUCUACUCUGAUUAAAACAGGAGAGCCAGGCAAGAGCCUGCUGCAGGUAGCUGAAGCUCUGUC